UACGAAGGGUGCUAGCGUUAAUCGGAAUUACUGGGCGUAAAGCGCGCGUAGGUGGUUUGAUAAGUUGGAUGUGAAAGCCCCGGGCUCAGCCUGGGAAUUGCAUCCCAAACUGUCUGACUAGAGGAUGGUAGAGGGUGGUGGAAUUUCCUGUGUAGUGGUGAAAUGCGUAGAUAUAGGGAGGAACACCAGUGGCGAAGGCGACCCCCUGGGCUGAUACUGACACUGAGGAGCGAAAGCGUGUGGAGCAAACAGGAUUAGAUACCCUGGUAGUCCACGCCGUAGACGAUGUCGACUAGACGUUGGUAUCCUUGAGAGCUUACUGGCGCAGCUAACGCACUAAGUCGACCGCCGGGGGAGGACGGCGGCGAGGUUAAAACUCAAAUGACUUGACGGGGGCCCCCACAAGCGGUGGAGCAUGUGGUCUAAUUCGAACCCACGCGAAGAACCUUGCCAGACCCUGCCAUACAGAGAACAGUCCAGAGAUGGAUUGGUGCCUUCGCGGACUCUGACACAGGCGCGUGCAUGGCUGUCGUCAGCGUCGUGUCGUGAGAUGUUGGGCUAAGUCCCGUAACGAGCGCAACCCUAGUCCUUACUUGCCAACACGUUAAGGUGGGCACUGUAAGGAGACCGCCGGCGACAAACCGGAGGAAGGUGGGGAAGACGUCAAAUCAUCAUGGCCCUUACGGCCUGGGCUCCCCACGCGCUACAAUGGUCGGCACAAAGGGUUGCCAAGCCGCGAGGCGGAGGUAAUCCCAUAAAACCGAUCGUAGUUCGGAUCGCAGUCUGCAACUCGACUGCGUGAAGUCGGAAUCGCUAGUAAUCGUGAAUCAGCAUGUCGCGGUGAAUACGUUCCCGGGCCU
rnacentral:rRNA from 1 species